GACUCUCGGCAACGGAUAUCUCGGCUCUUGCAUCAAUGAAGAAUGUAGCAAAAUGCAGAACUUGGUGUGAAUUGCUGAAUCUCGUGAACCAUCGAGUCUUUGAACGCAAGUUCUGCCCUAGGCCAUCAGGCUGAGGGCACGCCUGCCAGGGCAUCA